rnacentral:lncRNA from 1 species
AUUUUAAGCCUUGAAGUCAGAUUCUGUUCUUGGUCACAUUAGUGGAAAUGUGAAGUUAUUAAUGAAAAUUUUAAGCAAGUUAUUCCUUCUUGGACUACUGUAGGAGCAUAAGCAUAGCUACAGGGAAGCAGAUGAAUCUAAAAGUCCAGUCAUCAGUAGUUUGCAAUUAACCUAAGCGUGCUGCCAUCUGCACUGAAAACCAGCUGCCACAAAAAACCAAAAAGCCACAGAGGGAUAUUUUCCUGCAGCAAAAGCAGAAACAGCCAUAUUCCCCCAAAGGACCACAUGAAUGGAAAUUGGGAGCAGACCAUGUAUCAUUAACUCAGAGGAAUGCAUCUCCCCUUCUACUGUUCAUGUAG